ACUGCGGAAGGAUCAUUAACGAAUAUCUAUGGCGUUGGUUGUAGCUGGCUCCUAGGAGCAUUGUGCACGCCCGUCAUUCAUAUCAUCUUUCCACCUGUGAACCAUUUGUAGGCCUGGAUACCCCUCGCUUUGGCAACAAAGCGGAUGCAAGGAUUGCUGGGUCGACCAGGCCGGCUCUCUUUGAAUUUCCCGGGUCUAUGUCUUUUACACACCCCAUUCUAAUGAUUUAUAAAGUAGUCAAUGGGCUUUCAUGCCUAUAAAAAACUAUACAACUUUCAGCAACGGAUCUCUUGGCUCUCGCAUCCAUGAAAAACGCAGCGAAAUGCGAUAAGUAAUGGGAAUUGCAAAAUUCAGUGAAUCAUCCAAUCUUUGAACGCACCUUGGGCUCCUUGGUAUUCCCAGGAGCAUGCCUGUUUGAGUGUCAUUAAAUUCUCAACCUCACCAGUUUUGUAACGAGACAGGUGAAGGCUUUGAUGUGGGGGUUUUGCAGGCUGCCUCAAUGCUGGUCUGCUCCCCUGAAAUGCAUUAACGAGCUCAUAUUGAGCCUCCGUCUAUUGGUGUGAUAAUUAUCUACGCCGUGGAUUGGACUCAUGCUUGCUUCUAACCGUCCGCGAGGACAAUUUACUUGACCAAUUUGACCUCAAAUCAGGUAGGACUACCCGCUGAACUUAAGCAUAUCAGA
rnacentral:rRNA from 1 species